rnacentral:rRNA from 1 species
ACGCCCCACCAUACCUCGUGAACGCACCCAAUAUCCUCUGAUCUCGGGAGGUAAGCAGGGGCUGGCCUGGUUAGUACAUGGAUGUGAGCCUGCCUUGGCAUACCGGGUGCUUGGACAGU